UAAGGUAAGUUAAUCUUAUAAUCAAAAAUUCUGGAUCAAAAAAACAUAAAUUAAUGAAAAAAAUAUUAAAAGUUAAAUAAAUUUUAAUGUCACCCCAACAAAACUUUAUAUUCUAAAAAAUAGUUGGAUAAACAAAAAACAAAAAUUAAUAAAUAAAGUAAACUUCUAUAGGGUCUUCUCGUCCUAUAAAAAAAUUUUAGCUUUUUAACUAAAAAAUUAAAUUCAAAAUAAUUAAAAAAAGAAAGCUUAUUUUUCAUCAAACCAUUCAUACUAGCCUUCAAUUAAAAGACAAAUGAUUAUGCUACCUUCGUACAGUUAAAAUACCGCAGCCUUUUAAUUAAAAAAUAAUCAAUGGGCAGGCCUGAUCUUAAAUAAAAAUCAAAAGACC
rnacentral:rRNA from 1 species